UCACCCCUCAAGUCCCGUGCUUGGUGUUGGACGGCCUGGCUGGGCGUGCUGCCCGGCCCCUCCUAAAGACAAUGACGGCGGUCCGUGGAACCCCCGGUACACUGAGCUUCUUUAACGAGCACGUACCGGAAACAGGGCGCCCGGGCGACGGUCUGAAACCCCUUAUUUCUCAAA
rnacentral:misc_RNA from 1 species